rnacentral:piRNA from 1 species
UAACAUAAGAGUGUUGCAGAGUUUUUAUC